rnacentral:rRNA from 1 species
UACGUAGGGGGCAAGCGUUGUCCGGAUUUAUUGGGCGUAAAGAGCUCGUAGGCGGUUUGGUAAGUCGGAUGUGAAAUCUCCCAGGCUCAACCUGGAGGGGUCAUUCGAUACUGCCAUGACUAGAGUUCGGUAGGGGAGUGUGGAAUUCCUGGUGGAGCGGUGAAAUGCGCAGAGAUCAGGAGGAACACCCGUAGCGAAGGCGGCACUCUGGGCCGAUACUGACGCUGAGGAGCGAAAGCGUGGGGAGCGAACAGG